ACGGAGGGUGCGAGCGUUAAUCGGAAUUACUGGGCGUAAAGCGCGCGUAGGCGGUUUGUUAAGUCAGCUGUGAAAGCCCCGGGCUCAACCUGGGAACUGCAGUUGAUACUGGCCGACUAGAGUACGAGAGAGGGAGGUAGAAUUCCAUGUGUAGCGGUGAAAUGCGUAGAUAUAUGGAGGAAUACCAGUGGCGAAGGCGGCCUCCUGGCUCGAUACUGACGCUGAGGUGCGAAAGCGUGGGGAUCAAACAGG
rnacentral:rRNA from 1 species